rnacentral:rRNA from 1 species
UGGGGAAUAUUGCACACUGGGGGAAACCCUGAUGCAGCGACGCCGCGUGAACGAAGAAGGUAUUCGUAUCGUAAAGUUCUGUCCUAUGGGAAGAUAAUGACAGUACCAUAGAAGAAAGCUCCGGCUAAAUACGUGCCAGCAGCCGCGGUAAUACGUAUGGAGCGAGCGUUGUCCGGAAUUAUUGGGCGUAAAGGGUACGCAGGCGGUUUAAUAAGUCGAAUGUUAAAGAUCGGGGCUCAACCCCGCAAAGCAUUGGAAACUGAUAAACUUGAGUAGUGGAGAGGAAAGUGGAAUUCCUAGUGUAGUGGUGAAAUACGUAGAUAUUAGGAGGAAUACCAGUAGCGAAGGCGACUUUCUGGACACAAACUGACGCUGAGGUACGAAAGCGUGGGGAGCAAACAGG